rnacentral:rRNA from 1 species
UAAGCGGAGGAAAAGAAACCAACAGGGAUUGCCUCAGUAGCGGCGAGUGAAGCGGCAAAAGCUCAAAUUUGAAAUCUGGCGUCUUUGGCGUCCGAGUUGUAAUUUGAAGAAGGUAUCUUUGGGCCCGGCUCUUGUCUAUGUUCCUUGGAACAGGACGUCACAGAGGGUGAGAAUCCCGUGCGAUGAGAUGACCCGGGUCUGUGUAAAGUUCCUUCGACGAGUCGAGUUGUUUGGGAAUGCAGCUCUAAGUGGGUGGUAAAUUCCAUCUAAAGCUAAAUAUUGGCGAGAGACCGAUAGCGAACAAGUACAGUGAUGGAAAGAUGAAAAGAACUUUGAAAAGAGAGUGAAAAAGUACGUGAAAUUGUUGAAAGGGAAGGGCUUGAGAUCAGACUUGGUAUUUUGCAUGUUGCUCUCUCGGGGGCGGCCGCUGCGGUUUACCGGGCCAGCAUCGGUUUGGAGCGGCAGGAUAAUGGCGGAGGAAUGUGGCACGGCUUCUGCUGUGUGUUAUAGCCUCUGACGAUACUGCCAGCCUAGACCGAGGACUGCGGUUUUUACCUAGGAUGUUGGCAUAAU